GUGGAUUAGAUACCCUAGUAGUCCAUGCCGUAAACGAUGAACACUAGGUUUCGCCCUCGUUAACGGGGCGGAGCCGCAGCUAACGCGUUAAGUGUUCCGCCUGGGGAAUACGGUCGCAAGACUGAAACUCAAAGGAAUUGACGGGGGCCCGCACAAGCGGUGGAGCAUGUGGUUUAAUUCGACGCAACGCGCAGAACCUUACCAGGACUUGACAUGGGAAGGACAGGACGAGAGAUCGUUCCUCUCCAGCAAUGGAGCCUUCCACACAGGUGCUGCACGGCCGUCGACAGCU
rnacentral:rRNA from 1 species